rnacentral:rRNA from 1 species
UACGUAGGAGGCGAGCGUUGUCCGGAGUUACUGGGCGUAAAGGGUGCGCAGGCGGCGGUUCGCGUGGCGAGAUGAAAUCUCCUGGCUUACCUGGGAGGAUGGUCGCCAGACGGGAUCGCUUGAGGGUCGGAGAGGGGCGUGGAAUUCCGGGUGGAGCGGUGAAAUGCGUAGAGAUCCGGAGGAACACCGACGGCGUAGGCAGCGCCCUGGACGACACCUGACGCUGAGACGCGAAAGCGUGGGGAGCGAACCGG